ACUUUCCACCCUUUUGGGAUCAGAUAGCCUGAAACAAGGAAAUGCCAGUCAAUAAUUGUGAUAGAUAAGUAAAAAUAAGACUUUUUCAAUAGUGGAGUGGGGUGG